GACGAACGCUGGCUGCGUGCUUAACACAUGCAAGUCGAACGGGCCUUGUCCCCUUUUUUUUGGGGGUGGGGUUAGUGGCGAACGGGUGAGUAACACGUGAGUAACCUGCCCCUCUCUUCUGCAUAACCGCUUGAAAGGGUGGCUGAUACGGGGUGUUCUGGCCUCCUCGCAUGGGUGGGUUUGUGAAGAUUCGACCGGCUUUGGUUGUUUUUGUGGGGGUUGGUCUCGCGGCCUAUCAGCUUGUUGGUGGGGUGAUGGCCUGCCAAGGCUUUGACGGGUAGCCGGCCUGAGAGGGUGGGCGGUCACACUGGGAGUGAGACACGGCCCAGACUACUACGGGAGGCAGCAGUGGGGAAUAUGGCACAAUGGGCGCAAGCAUGAUGCAGCGACGCCGCGUGAGGGAUGGAGGCCUUCGGGUUGUGAACCUCUUUCGCCAGUGAAGAAGGUCCUGCUCUUUGUGGUGGGGUUGACGGUAGCUGGGUUAAUGAAGCGCCGGCUAACUACGUG
rnacentral:rRNA from 1 species